rnacentral:rRNA from 1 species
UAUGGUGCUGGUGGUCCGUGGUGGAGAUGGUCGUGGCUGGCGGCGCCGAUGGAUGGAUGGAGAUGGGUGAUGAGGCGGGAGGCGCACCACCACGCCGGCCUGGCUGUGGCGGCGGCCGGAGGUGGAGAAGGAGGGUGAGGGAAAGAGAUGCCAGGCCCGAUUGCAAUGGAGAUGCGGCUAGGGAUUUUGAUCCCCUCCCGAUCAGAUCUGAACGUUUUCAC